rnacentral:lncRNA from 1 species
GUCAGGCCAGUUACAUGACUGUGGGACAGAUGCUAGGGUGGGGUGUACAUGCAACACUGAGAGAUCUUCAACCCCUGCUCUGGGUAAUAACGAUGUCACAAUGACUUUGUUUGGUGGGGGUUGUUGGUAAUAAGAGAGGUUCUGUGUAUGUAGGCCUAUGGGAAGUCUUUGAACCUUUAGUUCAAAUUUGCAAACAAACAAAAAAAAACAAGACACCCUAAAAAGUCAAAAGCAGAAGAAAGAAGGAGGAAGAAGAGGAAUAAGGAAGCGCAAGGGGAGAAAGGAUCAGAAUGAAGCCUACUCGAUAGACUCAGAGAACUAUGAGUCCUCCAGUGGAAGAAUAGAAGUAAAACACAGCUGGACAGCUCUGUGCUGAAGGCUGGCCUACGCCAUCUCACUUAACCCUUACCUCCAUGUCCCUGCGCUGUUACAUCCCAGCCAUCACUGUCAUCGUCCUCAUACAAAUGAGGGAAGCAGAGCCAGCAGCUGGUUCUCUGGGAGCUAUGGGGUGUGGAGUUUCAGACAUUCCAGCCCAUCCAGGUGGACCGUGAUGAUUUAACUUCAAAGCAAGAGUGUAGUUGGUGCCCACUGCACUAAGCAGAUAUGGUGGAUCGGAACCAUUGCCUUCCCUCAGCAUGCAGACUGACCCGGAAAGAAUCUUGUAUUCGUUAGGCUCAAAGGGUGCUGUGGCCUUGGAGGAAGCAUGUCUCUCUCUUUUCCUCCUGCCUGCCGAUCUGGAUGUAGAAUUCUCAGUUCCUUCUCCAGCACCAUGUCUGCCUGUGAUGAUAAUGAACUAAACCUGAACGAUGGGGAAACCAAGGCACAAAAGAGCAUACCGUGUAAGAGGCAGCUUUCAUUGCAGGUAGUUUAUCUCCAAACUGUGCUCUUUGAAGGAUCAGACUGACCUGCCCUCAGUGCAGGUGUUUCUCCAAAGGGCUGCAUAUCAGUGUGCUAUUCU